CUGCAUCCUCAGUGCACACUCAGGCUUCUCCAUCCUCAGUGCACACUCAGGCUUCUCCAUCCCCAGGUGCACACUCAGGCUUCUCCAUCCUCAGGCGCACACUCUGGUCUCCUCCAUCCUCAGGCGCACACUCAGGCUUCUCCAUCCUCAGUGCACACUCAGGUCUCCCCCAUCCUCAGUCCACACACAGGCUUCUCCAUCCUCAGUGCACACUCAGGUCUCCUGCAUCCUCAGCGCACACUCAGGCUUCUCCAUCCUCAGGCGCUCACUCAGGUCUCCUCCAUCCUCAGGCACACACUCAGGUCUCCUCCAUCCUCAGGUGCACACUCAGGGCUCCUCCAUCCUCAGGCGCACACUCAGGUCUUCUCCAUCCUCAGGUGCACACUCAGGUCUCCCCCAUCCUCAGUCCACACACAGGCUUCUCCAUCCUCAGUGCACACUCAGGGCUCCUCCAUCCUCAGUGCACACUCUGGUCUCCUCCAUUCUCAGUGCACACUCAGGCUUCUCCAUCCUCAGGCACACACUCAGGCUUCUCCAUCCUCAGGUGCACACUCAGGCUUCUCCAUCCUCAGGCACACACUCAGGCUUCUCCAUCCUCAGGUCCACACUCAGGUCUCCUCCAUCCUCAGUGCACACUCAGGGCUCCUCCAUCCUCAGUGCACACUCUGGUCUCCUCCAUUCUCAGGUGCACACUCAGGUCUCCUCCAUCCUCAGGUGCACACUCAGGCUUCUCCAUCCUCAGGGUCACACUCAGGUCUCCUCCAUCCUCAGGCACACACUCAGGUCUCCUCCAUCCUCAGUGCACACUCAGGCAUCUCCAUCCUCACGCACACACUCAGGCUUCUCCAUCCUCAGGGGCACACUCAGGUCUCCUCUAUCCUCAGGCACACACUCAGGGCUCCUGCAUCCUCAGUGCACACUCAGGUCUCCCCCAUCCUCAGGUGCACACUCAGAUCUCCUCCAUCCUCAGGCACACACUCAGGUCUCCUCCAUCCUCAGUGCCCACUCUGGUCUCCUCCAUUCUCAGGUGCACCCUCAGGUCUCCUCCAUCCUCAGUGCACACACAGGCUUCUCCAUCCUCAGGGCACAUUCAGGCUUCUCCAUCCUCAGUGCACACUCAGGUCUCCUGCAUCCUCAGCGCACACUCAGGCUUCUCCAUCCUCAGGCGCACACUCAGGUCUCCUCCAUCCUCAGGUGCACACUCAGGUCUCCCCCAUCCUCAGGUGCACACUCAGGUCUCCUCUAUCCUCAGGCACACACUCAGGUCUCCUGCAUCCUCAGUGCACACUCAGGUCUUCUCCAUCCUCGGUGCAUGCUCAGGUGUCCUCCAUCCUCAGGUGCACACUCAGGUCUUCUCCAUUUUAAGUGCACACACUCAGAUAUUUGUGUCUGUGUUUCCCUGAUGAUCAGUGGUGGUGAACAUCUCUGCAUGCGCUUAUCAGCCACGGGUGAUACCUUAUAUUUUGACGAGGGGUUGAUGGUAGUUAGCCUCAUAGAUGGGCGUUUGAACUUUGUGGUCAAGCAACUCCGCUGCUGUGUUUCUGCACUGAGUGGCUUGUUACUGUCUCCUCGUUACAUAUUGACCAGCUGUCAGUCUGGUGCCUGGAGCUUUGCACCUGUGAGCUCAUCCGAUUCUCA
rnacentral:lncRNA from 1 species